rnacentral:rRNA from 1 species
AUUGAACGCUGGCGGCAGGCCUAACACAUGCAAGUCGAGCGGAGCGGCGGAAGGGUGAGUAAUGCCUAGGAAUCUGCCUGGUAGUGGGGGAUAAAGUCCGGAAACGGGCGCCAAUACCGCAUACUAUAAGAUGAGUCUAGGUCGGAUUAGCUAGUUGGUGGGGUAAAGGCCUACCAAGGCGACGAUCCGUAACUGGUCUGAGAGGAUGCUACGUCAAACUGGAACUGAGAAACGGUCCAGACUCCUACGGGAGGCAGCAGUGGGGAAGAGUGGACAAUGGGCGAAAGCCUGAUCCAGCCAUGCCGCGUGUGUGAAGAAGGUCUUCGGAUUGUAAAGCACUUUAAGUUGGGAGGCGUUACCAACAGAAUAAGCACCGGCUAACUUCGUGCCAGCAGCCGCGGUAAUUC